GAUGAAGAACGCAGCGAAAUGCGAUAAGUAAUGUGAAUUGCAGAAUUCAGUGAAUCAUCGAAUCUUUGAACGCACAUUGCGCCCGCCAGUAUUCUGGCGGGCAUGCCUGUCUGAGCGUCAUUUCAACCCUCACGCCCCUAGGGCGUGGUGUUGGGGAUCGGCCAAAGCCCGCGAGGGACGGCCGGCCCCUAAAUCUAGUGGCGGACCCGUCGUGGCCUCCUCUGCGAAGUAGUGAUAUUCCGCAUCGGAGAGCGAUGAGCCCCUGUCGUUAAACCCCCAACUUUCCAAGGUUGACCUCAGAUCAGGUAGGAAUACCCGCUGAACUUAAGCAUAUCAAUAAGCGGAGGA
rnacentral:misc_RNA from 1 species